GCAAACUUGGUCAUUUAGAGGAAGUAAAAGUCGUAACAAGGUCUCCGUUGGUGAACCAGCGGAGGGAUCAUUACCGAGUUUACAACUCCCAAACCCUUAUGUGAACCGUACCCAUCGUUGCUUCGGCGGAACGCCCCGGCGCCCUGUGCCCGGACCCAGGCGCCCGCCGGAGACCCCAAACUCUUGUUUUUAUUGGUAUUCUCUGAGUGGUAAAACAAAUACAUCAAAACUUUUAACAACGGAUCUCUUGGCUCUGGCAUCGAUGAAGAACGCAGC
rnacentral:misc_RNA from 1 species